GAAGGAGCUCCUACCCUUUGGAACAGCGUGGAUGGAAAUGGAGGGAGUUAUGCUAAGAGAAAUAAGCCAGGCAGGUAAAAACAAAUACCAUAUGAUCUCACCUAUUA